AUACCGUGGUGUGGGCAUGCUUGUAUGUAUUCUUGGAGAUGCUCCCAGACUUCCGAGAUGGUCUCAUCCGACAAUUGCUGGAUUUCAGUGAUCCUAUUUUGGAGGGC